rnacentral:misc_RNA from 1 species
GAUGAAGAACGUAGCGAAAUGCGAUAAGUAAUGUGAAUUGCAGAAUUCAGUGAAUCAUCGAAUCUUUGAACGCACAUUGCGCCCGCCAGUAUUCUGGCGGGCAUGCCUGUUCGAGCGUCAUUUCAACCCUCAAGCCCAGCUUGGUGUUGGGGAUCGGCACAGGCGCCCUCGGGCGCCCGCCGUCCCCUAAAUCUAGUGGCGGUCCCGCUGCAGCCUCCUCUGCGUAGUAGUUUUCUCCUCGCAAGGGCAGCUUGGUGGCGACCUCGCCGUAAAACCCCCAACUUCUGAAAGGUUGACCUCGAAUCAGGUAGGAAUACCCGCUGAACUUAAGCAUAUCAAUAAGCGGAGGA